CUGCUAUCGGAUUGAUACUAAGCCAUGCGAGUCAUUGUAGCAAUACAAGGCAUACGGCUCAGUAACGCGUAGUCAACCUAACCUAUGGACGGGAAUAACCUCGGGAAACUGAGAAUAAUGCCCGAUAGAACAUUAUGCCUGGAAUGGUUUAUGUUCCAAAUGAUUUAUCGCCGUAGGAUGGGACUGCGGCCUAUCAGUUUGUUGGUGAGGUAAUGGCCCACCAAGACUAUUACAGGUACGGGCUCUGAGAGGAGUAGCCCGGAGAUGGGUACUGAGACACGGACCCAGGCCCUAUGGGGCGCAGCAGGCGAGAAAACUUUGCAAUGUGCGAAAGCACGACAAGGUUAAUCCGAGUGGUUUCUGCUAAAGGAACCUUUUGUCAGUCCUAGAAACACUGAUGAAUAAGGGGUGGGCAAGUUCUGGUGUCAGCCGCCGCGGUAAAACCAGCACCUCAAGUGGUCAGGAUGAUUAUUGGGCCUAAAGCAUCCGUAGCCGGCUCUGUAAGUUUUCGGUUAAAUCUGUACGCUCAACGUACAGGCUGCCGGGAAUACUGCAAAGCUAGGGAGUGGGAGAGGUAGACGGUACUCGGUAGGAAGGGGUAAAAUCCUUUGAUCUAUUGAUGACCACCUGUGGCGAAGGCGGUCUACCAGAACACGUCCGACGGUGAGGGAUGAAAGCUGGGGGAGCAAACCGGAUUAGAUACCCGGGUAGUCCCAGCUGUAAACCAUGCAAACUCAGUGAUGCAUUGGCUUGUGGCCAAUGCAGUGCUGCAGGGAAGCCGUUAAGUUUGCCGCCUGGAAGUACGUACGCAAGUAUGAAACUUAAAGGAAUUGGCGGGGGAGCACCACAAGGGGUGAAGCCUGCGG
rnacentral:rRNA from 1 species